AGUGAACGCUGGCGGUAGGCCUAACACAUGCAAGUCGAACGGCAGCACAGUAAGAGCUUGCUCUUACGGGUGGCGAGUGGCGGACGGGUGAGGAAUACAUCGGAAUCUACUUUUUCGUGGGUGAUAACGUAGGGAAACUUACGCUAAUACCGCAUACGACCUACGGGUGAAAGCAGGGGAUCUUCGGACCUUGCGCGAUUGAAUGAGCCGAUGUCGGAUUAGCUGGUUGGCGGGGUAAAGGCCCACCAAGGCGACGAUCCGUAGCUGGUCUGAGAGGAUGAUCAGCCACACUGGAACUGAGACACGGUCCAGACUCCUACGGGAGGCAGCAGUGGGGAAUAUUGGACAAUGGGCGAAAGCCUGAUCCAGCCAUACCGCGUGGGUGAAGAAGGCCUUCGGGUUGUAAAGCCCUUUUGUUGGGAAAGAAAAGCAGCAGGUUAAUACCCCGCUGUUCUGACGGUACCCAAAGAAUAAGCACCGGCUAACUUCGUG
rnacentral:rRNA from 1 species